UACGUAGGGUCCGAGCGUUGUCCGGAAUUACUGGGCGUAAAGAGCUCGUAGGUGGUUUGUCGCGUUGUUCGUGAAAACUCACAGCUUAACUGUGGGCGUGCGGGCGAUACGGGCAGACUUGAGUACUGCAGGGGAGACUGGAAUUCCUGGUGUAGCGGUGGAAUGCGCAGAUAUCAGGAGGAACACCGGUGGCGAAGGCGGGUCUCUAGACAACUCCUGACACUGAGGCACGAAAGCUAGGGGAGCAAACAGG
rnacentral:rRNA from 1 species